AGGAUGAACGCUGGCGGCGUGCUUAACACAUGCAAGUCGAACGAUGAAAGCGGGAGCUUGCUCCUGCUGGAUUAGUGGCGAACGGGUGAGUAACACGUGAGUAACCUGCCCUUGACUCUGGGAUAAGCGUUGGAAACGACGUCUAAUACCGGAUACGACCUUCGGAGGCAUCUCCUGGGGGUGGAAAGAAUUUCGGUCAAGGAUGGACUCGCGGCCUAUCAGCUAGUUGGUGAGGUAAAGGCUCACCAAGGCGACGACGCGUAGCCGGACUGAGAGGUUGGCCGGCCUCAUUGGGACUGAGACACUGCCCAGACUCCUACGGGGGCUGCAGUAACGAAUCUUCCGCAAUGCACGAAAGUGUGACGGAGCGACGCCGCGUGUGGGACGAAG
rnacentral:rRNA from 1 species